ensembl:processed_transcript Mir100hg Mir100 Mirlet7a-2 Mir125b-1 cluster host gene
UUUAUGGGAGGAAAAGAUCGAGACACACAAAGAAAGGCCCAAAUACUCACAGGCAUGGGAAAUAUUUUCUCUGCCUGUUACUAGGACCGGAUAAGCUCCAAGAAAGAAAAUCCACCUAGAUAUUUUAAACUGGGGAAUGUCUCCCCAAAGCCUGGUAAAUGUUCACAUGUGUCUUCAUGAAAUUUGUAAUAUGGAUUGUUUACACAGCCCUGAUUGAGGGCAUGAGUGCCAUUAAAAAGGAUCAAGUCGGUUUAGGGAUGGAAAAUUGUAGAAACCAGAGCUGUUAUCCACAAGGAGAAGUGUAGAUUUUUGGUUUCUUUGAAACAAUAAUACGCAGGUCUUGAUAUUAAAAGGUAUUUCAACAACCAAGAGUAAGCUGUUGGUGACCCUUCUAAAUUCUAUAAGGAAUCAACAAGGUUGUAAGUCACUCUCCUCAAACAGGUCUGAAGGCAAGUGUUGAUGACAUGGCUGGGGCUCUCUGACAUCUCCUUCUCUCUCUUUCCAGUGGCACACUUAGAGAUUUUCCAUGGUGGGAGCUCGGCACUCCUAGUGUGGGGUUUACUUUGUUCAGGCGUUGUGCUGGGAUUUGAGGAGACUGGCUACAACUCCACAGGGCAGUUGCUGAGGAUGGAGCCUCCGUGUGUCUCAGAAGACUGCAAUUCUUACUGCUAGGAGACUGCAUGGCUGGUUCCCUCUGAGCUAAGCUUCUAUUUCCGUAGCCCAGAUGCAAUGAGGAGGUGCCUAUGAUAGACAUAGAAUACAAACCCCACACAGCUUAAAGCUGGCAGAUGUCCUCUGCAAAACGAUGCCACACCUUGACCCUGAAUGAGGAAGAAGGCAGGGAUCCAUAGGAUUAUCCUGAGUGGAAAACAUGGCUUCCAAUUUGUUUUUUAAAAAUGGAAUCCAUACCUAUGAAUUUCUUAAUAAAAUACCUCUCUUGUAAAAUGUAGUCAUUGUGUUUUUAUUGUUGUUGUGAUGGGAAUGUAUCUUUUAAUGCCAUGGAAUAGUUUAAUGCUGAAAUAGCAAAGGGCUAGAAACAGCUGGAGUAAGCAUAAAACAGCUAUAUACUGGUAUUACAGUGGAUUUUUUUUUUAAAACUUGAGAUUCCAGGAUGGGUAAAUUUCUCACUACACCAAAUGGCUGGUUCCAUGGAAAUUGACCACACAUAAUAGGGAGUGUUCCCUGGAAAACCAGGCACGUUAUAUCACUUGAAAGACCAAAUGCAGACCUACUGCCUCCUCUUUGUUAUUUACUUCUUUAAAACCUACAAAUAAAACACCUAAGGAGUGUAGCGAUAUGGAGCGCUCCAGUAAGGCAUUCUUCCAGAAUUUAUAAACAGUUCCAGAAGCAGUUAAAUUAAUGAGUUUUCAGCUGCCUGUGCAGGACUUAAGCAAAACAGGAUUUUUCUACCAGGCAGAUUAAGAUCACUUGAUCAUCACCAUGCUUGGCUUUUUGACACACAUACAGAAGAGGCAAAGCUAAAAUGUCUCUGAAUGGUUGUUCCAAUAUAACAUUAAAAGCUAAAAUGGCCAGACAGAAACCAAAGAAUAAGAGAUAGGUCAGGGUGGCAGUAGACAAAUGAUCAUGAAAAAGAACCUACUGAAAGUGCCUACAGUAUCACAAUUAUAUGUAUAAGUAUGAGAUUAUAAUACAUUGGGGAACAAAAGAACCUAUUGAUAUAGAUCUCAUGAAACCCGUAAGUCCACAGUGACUUACCUAAAGAUCUAUCCUGAACCCAUGAUGAGACAUUGUUGGGGAAGAUCUUUAUGGACUUUAUAGCAUAGAGGAGCUCUCAAAAGAAGAGCUUCAUUGAUAACAAGGGGUCUCAAGUCCAAUAACACAACUCCUUCUAAGAGACUAUGGCGAGACAAGGCACACAGUGGGGAGGUCGUAUGGACCCAGAAGCAGAAACCUCUACUAGCCACAAGAGGUUGGAAGACACACAUGGAACUGACUCACUGUGAACCCUUAAAGCAGGAACCACUUUGAUUUCAGACUUAGGGCUUCCAGAACUGUGUGAAAAGGAAUUAAUCUUAGUUUUGGACACACAUUUGGGCAAUUGGUUACAAUAGCUGUAGGAAAGCAAGCUAGAGUUAUUUGAUCAUGAGGGUGAAAAAACAGGCUCAAGGGAUAACAGAGUGACUGGACUGUCAGAAGGGUGAUACCCUGGAGUGGAUCUCAUGAACAACCAGAAUUCAGGGAUGCGUUUUACCUAUAGCAUCCUUCUUCUCUAUCUACUUCAUCUUCACCAGCUUUCUUCACUUGACAAGAGAUACUGUCUGCUAGCAUCUCAGUUUUCCAUCUUACUGUUUCUAUCACUUCAUGAGAAUGUGUCUCUACCCACAUUUAUAAACCCUCAGGAAAGAGUCUAUGCUGCCUAUGAGGUCCAGCUACCUGUAAACUAAUCAUCAAAGUAAGCCACCAAAAUCUUACCAAAUAGGACCAAUCUGGAGAAGGCCUGAUGAGAGGUAGAUGUAAGUGGCAUCAGGUACUUGUCGCCUGGGUUCUUUCCCGCAGGUAAAUCUAGAGCUGCCUUUCUUGGGGACAUUAUUACAACAUUGCAGACUGGCAAGGGAGUCUGAGCUUUGUCAUUUAUGGGUGGCAUCACAUUAGGACAUUGCACCGUUUCUCUAUCUUAUUUCCAAAAGGUGAAGAUAGAAAGGGCAUUGCCCAUGGAAGUGUUUGACAAUAUAUGUGAGGCUCUAGGUGCAAUUGCCAGCACAGAACAACGAACACAGAACAACAGACACUCAACAACAAAUAAAGACAGAAGUAUAUGUGAUGGUGUAAACCCAGCAUUCAGGAGGCUGAGUCAGGAGGGUUAUGAGUUCGAGAGUAGACAGAGAGAAUUUUAGGGCCAGACAGGGCUAUAUUGGACUCUCUCUCAAAAUAAAGAUGGAGAUGGAGAUAGAGCGAGGAAAUAAAGAUAGACUUGUUGUUUGAUAAGUAUGCUACAUCUGGGAAAAUCUCUUGUGAUGUUAGUUAAGGGCAAUUAUAGAUACAGAGGGUUUGAGCAACACUUAAGAGACAGACAGGGUCAGUCGCUUUAUUUUCCCAGAUGGGAUUUCAAGCUUUAAGCUCCUGAGAAAACCAGGGCAGGAAUUUAGGGUACUCAACUACCAGAUUAGUGUUUCUUUGUUACUUACAGGAUCUGUCCCCAUUUCUGUGGAUAUCAAAUAAGGUCUGAUUUAGAAGGUGUCACUCAAAUAAGGGAAAAGAAUCACCCUUAGAACAGACAAGAAUAUUAGGUUUUAGGCUUCAUAGCAAUGUAGGAUAAAGAUGCUUAAAGAGAAAAAGGACAAAAGCCAUGGGUUGGAAGUUGAAAGGUGAGGAACCCAGUUAAAUGUCCACAGAGUACCUCUUGCCCUGGGACGUACAGGAUGCAAUCAUUUUGAGACAACAUUUAGAACACAGAGAAGCCACGGUGGGAUCAGAGCCCUUUAACUUUUAAGCUAAUUUCUUGUAACUACCAGCUCCACUCUGUGUUUGUUUUCCUUUUGCUUUCUCUCAUUAUGUAAUGAUAUUUGGAAAGAAACUACUUGGCUCAGUUUUUGUUAGUA